GGUUAAGCGACUAAGCGUACACGGUGGAUGCCUAGGCAGUCAGAGGCGAUGAAGGACGUGCUAAUCUGCGAAAAGCGCCGGUGAGCUGAUAUGAAGCGCUAUCAGCCGGCGAUGUCCGAAUGGGGAAACCCAGUGUGAUUUGUCACACUAUCAUUCACUGAAUCCAUAGGUGAAUGAGGCGAACCGGGGGAACUGAAACAUCUCAGUACCCCGAGGAAAAGAAAUCAACCGAGAUUCCCCCAGUAGCGGCGAGCGAACGGGGAGCAGCCCAGAGCCAUCAUCAGUGUCAGCGCCAGGAGAACGGUCUGGAAAGGCCGGCAGUAAAGGGUGAAAGCCCCGUAUCCGAAGGUGUUGGCAGUGUGAGCUCGAUGAGUAGGGCGGGACACGUGGUAUCCUGUCUGAACAUGGGGGGACCAUCCUCCAAGGCUAAAUACUCCUGACUGACCGAUAGUGAACCAGUACCGUGAGGGAAAGGCGAAAAGAACCCCGGCGAGGGGAGUGAAAGAGAACCUGAAACCGUGUACGUACAAGCAGUGGGAGCACCCUUUGGGGUGUGACUGCGUACCUUUUGUAUAAUGGGUCAGCGACUUAUAUUCUGUAGCAAGGUUAACCGCAUAGGGGAGCCGCAGGGAAACCGAGUCUUAACUGGGCGUUAAGUUGCAGGGUAUAGACCCGAAACCCGGUGAUCUAGCCAUGGGCAGGUUGAAGGUUGGGUAACACUAACUGGAGGACCGAACCGACUAAUGUUGAAAAAUUAGCGGAUGACUUGUGGCUGGGGGUGAAAGGCCAAUCAAACCGGGAGAUAGCUGGUUCUCCCCGAAAGCUAUUUAGGUAGCGCCUCGUGAACUCAUCUUCGGGGGUAGAGCACUGUUUCGGCUAGGGGGCCAUCCCGGCUUACCAACCCGAUGCAAACUGCGAAUACCGAAGAAUGUUAUCACGGGAGACACACGGCGGGUGCUAACGUCCGUCGUGAAGAGGGAAACAACCCAGACCGCCAGCUAAGGUCCCGAAGUCAUGGUUAAGUGGGAAACGAAGUGGGAAGGCUCAGACAGCCAGGAUGUUGGCUUAGAAGCAGCCAUCAUUUAAAGAAAGCGUAAUAGCUCACUGGUCGAGUCGGCCUGCGCGGAAGAUGUAACGGGGCUAAACCAUGCACCGAAGCUGCGGCAGCGACACGUUUGUGUUGUUGGGUAGGGGAGCGUUCUGUAAGCCGUUGAAGGUGAACUGUGAGGUUUGCUGGAGGUAUCAGAAGUGCGAAUGCUGACAUAAGUAACGAUAAAGCGGGUGAAAAACCCGCUCGCCGGAAGACCAAGGGUUCCUGUCCAACGUUAAUCGGGGCAGGGUGAGUCGACCCCUAAGGCGAGGCUGAAAAGCGUAGUCGAUGGGAAACAGGUGAAUAUUCCUGUACUCGGUGUUACUGCGAAGGGGGGACGGAGAAGGCUAGGCCGGCCGGGCGACGGUUUGUCCCGGUUGAAGCGUGUAGGUGGGAUGAUUUGGCAAAUCCGGUCAUCCGUUAACACUGAGGCGUGAUAACGAGCCACCACGGUGGCGAAGCGGUUGAUGCCCUGCUUCCAGGAAAAGCCUCUAAGCACCAGGUAACAUUGAAUCGUACCCCAAACCGACACAGGUGGUCAGGUAGAGAAUACUCAGGCGCUUGAGAGAACUCGGGUGAAGGAACUAGGCAAAAUGGUGCCGUAACUUCGGGAGAAGGCACGCCGGCACUAGGUGAAGUGACUUGCUCACGGAGCCGAAGCCGGCCGCAGAUACCAGCUGGCUGCAACUGUUUAAUAAAAACACAGCACUGUGCAAACACGAAAGUGGACGUAUACGGUGUGACGCCUGCCCGGUGCUGGAAGGUUAAUUGAUGGGGUUAGCGGUAACGCGAAGCUCUUGAUCGAAGCCCCAGUAAACGGCGGCCGUAACUAUAACGGUCCUAAGGUAGCGAAAUUCCUUGUCGGGUAAGUUCCGACCUGCACGAAUGGCGUAAUGAUGGCCAGGCUGUCUCCACCCGAGACUCAGUGAAAUUGAACUCGCUGUGAAGAUGCAGUGUACCCGCGGCAAGACGGAAAGACCCCGUGAACCUUUACUAUAGCUUGACACUGAACCUUGAGCCUUGAUGUGUAGGAUAGGUGGGAGGCUGAGAAGUGCGGACGCCAGUCUGCACGGAGCCAUCCUUGAAAUACCACCCUUGAAUGUUUGAUGUUCUAACGUGGGCCCGUCAUCCGGGCUGCGGACAGUGUCUGGCGGGUAGUUUGACUGGGGCGGUCUCCUCCCAAAGCGUAACGGAGGAGCACGAAGGUUGGCUAAGCAUGGUCGGACAUCAUGCGGUUAGUGCAAUGGCAUAAGCCAGCUUGACUGCGAGCGUGACGGCGCGAGCAGGUGCGAAAGCAGGUCAUAGUGAUCCGGUGGUUCUGAAUGGAAGGGCCAUCGCUCAACGGAUAAAAGGUACUCCGGGGAUAACAGGCUGAUACCGCCCAAGAGUUCAUAUCGACGGCGGUGUUUGGCACCUCGAUGUCGGCUCAUCACAUCCUGGGGCUGAAGUAGGUCCCAAGGGUACGGCUGUUCGCCGUUUAAAGUGGUACGCGAGCUGGGUUUAGAACGUCGUGAGACAGUUCGGUCCCUAUCUGCCGUGGGCGCUGGAAGAUUGAAAGGGGCUGCUCCUAGUACGAGAGGACCGGAGUGGACGCACCACUGGUGUUCGGGUUGUCAUGCCAAUGGCACUGCCCGGUAGCUAAGUGCGGAAGAGAUAACCGCUGAAAGCAUCUAAGCGGGAAACUUGCCUUGAGAUGAGUCUUCCCUUGUCCCUAGAGGGCACUAAAGGAACGUUCGAGACGAGGACGUGGAUAGGCCGGGUGUGUAAGCGUCGCGAGACGUUGAGCUAACCGGUACUAAUGACCCGUGCGGCUUAACCUG
rnacentral:rRNA from 1 species